UAGGAAUAAAAGACAAUCCUAAAUUACAUUCUACCGUUGGUUCCUCGGAUCGAUCCUGGGCUCGUUACUACAAUAUUAUUGUGAAAUUAAGGGGUUCAGUGAAAUAUACAUUUGUUAAUUUGAUAAAGCCUAUUCGUGAUAGUAAAUUAUAUGCUUUAUCACUUGGCCCUAUCUGUUUUUGAUCAGUACCCUUGGGUUCCAUAUCCUGACUUGCUACCACAGACUUUGUACCAGUUCUUGUAGUUGUAACUGAAUCAAACCCCAAGCCUACUUCCUUGCCCACUGAGAUUGCUGGAAUUGUUGGAAUGUCUGAAACUUUAUGGGUUGGCUACUGCGUUGUUGAUUCCUUUUCUUUUCUUGCUACUAGGGACUGAGGAGUAACUACUGAAUGUACUUUUGCAUAGGCUAUCCCUGUUCUACUUGAAACUAAAGUUGAACCCCUCAAAGUAGGCUUAGUCCUUGUCUUCAGCCAAUCAGCCCUAGGCCCAGAACAGAUUCAAGCUUCAGAACAGAUUCAAGCUUCAGCUAGAGCUCCACACAUCAGGGAGGGUGGCUACAACGCAUUCAGGAGGCUUCCUGGUGAUGUCGACUUCAACAAGGACUCCAACAAAAUUAAUCCGUUGUCUCUCUUUGGUGAUUCGAUCCAUCUACAGGGGCUCCCCACUAAAGAGGUGAUCUUCUCAGACCUGUUGUGGACCAGCAGUCGAUGGGUAACCCAUAGAUUUGCAUCCAAAGCGGCAGCUGGUUAUGUAUCGCUGAUUCGAAGGUGAAGAAAGGUGUCAUGGCUUUAAGCUAAAAGGGCAACCAUACGUGAUGUAAGGGCUUCCUUUCAAAAUGUUAACGAAUUGGCCACUUUCUAGCCAGGGAACCUGCCCAAGAACCUCCCAAAUAGGCAAAACCCGACGGUUUCCUCAAGUGAUUCCUUAUCCUCAGCUGAAAGGGUGGCAUGAUCUCCUUGCCGUUUCAAUAAUUUUAGAGAUGUGUCAAUGGAUCAAAUCCAAUUCUUUGUUAAUAGUUCUGACCACCGACCAUUGAAUGCACUCAAUGUUGCUCUUCCACGUCCUUGGCCUCCUGAUUGUGGCCUCUGAUCAGAUGCUGCUUUGCCACCUGUACCUGCCUCUGGUGAACGCACCAUCGGAACUCUCUCUGGUUGCGCUCUUCCUUCUGUUCGAGGGACCUGAUCCAAUGUGAUGCCCUUAUCCUUUGACAAUGAUGGAGAGGGUUCUAGGGCAGCCGAUGCCUGCUGUUGAUGCCGCUGUGUGGUGUGUUGUGCUGCAGCCGCUGUAUCAGAGGGUAGUCCCGUGCCGUAGGGGAGAGAUCUCCAUCUCUGUUUCGGUGGCAGCACCAUUGGCACGCAUGAGUUUAACUAUGAGGUUUUGCGAAGUCAUA